rnacentral:rRNA from 1 species
AGAGUUUGAUCCUGGCUCAGGAUGAACGCUAGCUACAGGCUUAACACAUGCAAGUCGAGGGGAAACGAUAGAGAAAGCUUGCUUUUUCUAGGCGUCGACCGGCGCACGGGUGAGUAACGCGUAUCCAACCUGCCCACCACUUGGGGAUAACCUUGCGAAAGUAAGACUAAUACCCAAUGACGUUUCUAGAAGACAUCUGAAAGGGAUUAAAGAUUUAUCGGUGAUGGAUGGGGAUGCGUCUGAUUAGCUUGUUGGCGGGGUAGCGGCCCACCAAGGCAACGAUCAGUAGGGGUUCUGAGAGGAAGGUCCCCCACAUUGGAACUGAGACACGGUCCAAACUCCUACGGGAGGCAGCAGUGAGGAAUAUUGGUCAAUGGGCGAGAGCCUGAACCAGCCAAGUAGCGUGCAGGAUGACGGCCCUAUGGGUUGUAAACUGCUUUUAUAAGGGAAUAAAGUGAGUCUCGUGAGGCUUUUUGCAUGUACCUUAUGAAUAAGGACCGGCUAAUUCCGUGCCAGCAGCCGCGGUAAUACGGAAGGUCCGGGCGUUAUCCGGAUUUAUUGGGUUUAAAGGGAGCGUAGGCCGGAGAUUAAGCGUGUUGUGAAAUGUAGAUGCUCAACAUCUGCACUGCAGCGCGAACUGGUUUCCUUGAGUACGCACAAAGUGGGCGGAAUUCGUGGUGUAGCGGUGAAAUGCUUAGAUAUCACGAAGAACUCCGAUUGCGAAGGCAGCUCACUGGAGCGCAACUGACGCUGAAGCUCGAAAGUGCGGGUAUCGAACAGGAUUAGAUACCCUGGUAGUCCGCACGGUAAACGAUGGAUGCCCGCUGUUGGUCUGAAUGGGUCAGCGGCC